AAAAAGUUGAGCUUCACUUUCUUGAAAUCUCCAAAACUUAGGGGCUAUAUAUAGCCCACCAACAAAAUAGACCAGCUUAUACAUUUGGUCAUAUGACAUGCACCAAUGUGAAGAAACUAGCAAGUAUAAAAGUGUUGAAUACCUAUCAGCCCUACCAGUUAUAGAAGUCAGAAACUAAGGCAAGCAAAUUAUAGAUGCUAUUUCAGGACUUCUUGCUAGUUUAAAUUAGCAUUACAAAGUAGCAAGCAUUACAAUUCGGACUUCUUGCUUGUAAUUUUUAGGACCAUAGUAACACUCCCUUUAUUUGCUUGUUGCAAACUUUCUAUCAUUUCUUUAUCAUUUCACUUAGAUUUAGUUUUCACAAAUGAAAACAUGGAGAAUGUUGUUGAUUUUUUGUUUCUAUGUAGUUAAAAUGGCUAGUCGUCGGAUGUCUCUUAGUGUUCAUUGGUAUGGACAGUUAGUUAUGGAUGGAAAUAGUCCCCGAUAUGUCGAUAGUCGAAAGAAAUUGAUCGCGAUUCGUUCAGAUACGACCUAUACGAAUUUUGAGAGGGAAAUCUAUCAUUUAGUAAAUUGUAAUAGAGAAAAAUAUUGUCUUAAAUAUAUAAUUCGAUGCCCUACGAGAGCGAAUGAAUAUAUUGCUCAUGAUAUAGUAGAUGAUGAAUAAUUGGAAGGAUUAAUUGGAUUGUUUGAACAUUAUGGAUGUGUUUCGCUAAACAUCGAGAAAGAUUUAUAUCCGUCAGAGA
rnacentral:lncRNA from 1 species